AAGGAGCUUGGACAUCCCGCUGCCCCAGCCCAGUCCCCAGGAACGGAGUGUUCUCAAGGCUUCGGGACAAAAAUCUGGAAGUAGAGGAAGCAACUCUCAUUUGAACGGAGAUCUGAGUGAUGAAAAGAAGCAGACAGAGGCAUCAGGGAGUUCAAAGGCCCUGAGUCCAGGAAUCUCACCUCCCCACCUGGGUUGUGAGGUCUUCUGGGGCAAGGAUGGCGCCUGCUCUUCCUUGGGCCCACUCUCCCAGCCCGGUCAGCCGGAGGACCGGACACCUAAGAGCUGCUUGCCUCUCCUUGAACUCUGAAAGCAGUUGGCGAUCAGAAAGGUAAGGAGCUGGAUGCCCAGUGGCAGAGGCUCUCCAGGGACGUCCCCACUGCCAAACACAGUUUUCCGGUGCUCCCUAGGAAUCUGCCUUUCCUGUCCUAACUGGAUUCCAGGGUAAUGCAGGCUUUCUUUCCUCUGUACAACUCUCCUAGAGGAGCUGUGUUAGCUGGAUAAGCUGCCCGGAGCUGGCCUAGCUGGAGAGCAGCUCGACAAGAAUUCCUUUGUUCCCAGGCAUCUCUGUGGCACAGGCAUCCAGUGUCAAUUCCUGUCCAAGCCUCUCCCCAGGGCCCUGGCAGGAGACCCAGCACAUUUGGAAGAAGCCCGCCACCUGCCAGAGCUGCAGGUCCUAGAUGCCCAGAAGUUAUAGUGCCCAAGGUCACCCCAGGCUCACAAGUGACUUUGUCCUCAG
rnacentral:lncRNA from 1 species